GCAAGUCGAACGGGCUAGUGCUUCGCACUAGUCUCUUUCUGGGGUUGUUACUCUAAGGCUACCUGCUAAGGUUAUUGCUUUAAAGCAGGGGUUUUAGGAGAUUUCCCCGAAAGGGGCCAGUGCGGAGCACUGGCCAGUGGCGAACGGGUGAGUAACACGUGGGUAAUCUACCCUCGAGUGGGGAAUAAGCUUCCGAAAGGGGGUCUAAUGCCGCAUAACGUUUCAUAACGAUGGUUAUGAAACCAAAGCCCAAAAGGCGCUCGAGGAGGAGCCUGCGUCCUAUCAGCUUGUUGGCAGGGUAAUGGCCUACCAAGGCUAUGACGGGUAGCCGGCCUGAGAGGGUGUCCGGCCACACUGGAACUGAGACACGGUCCAGACUCCUACGGGAGGCAGCAGUGGGGAAUUUUGCGCAAUGGGGGAAACCCUGACGCAGCGACGCCGCGUGGAGGAUGACGGCCUUCGGGUUGUAAACUCCUGUCAGAAGGGACGAAAUCCCGCAAGGGACUGACGGUACCUUCAGAGGAAGCCCCGGCUAACUACGUG
rnacentral:rRNA from 1 species